rnacentral:rRNA from 1 species
UGGGGAAUAUUGCACAAUGGGCGCAAGCCUGAUGCAGCAACGCCGCGUGAACGAUGAAGGUCUUCGGAUCGUAAAGUUCUGUUGCAGGGGAAGAUAAUGACGGUACCCUGUGAGGAAGCCCCGGCUAACUACGUGCCAGCAGCCGCGGUAAUACGUAGGGGGCUAGCGUUAUCCGGAUUUACUGGGCGUAAAGGGUGCGUAGGUGGUCUUUCAAGUCGGUGGUUAAAGGCUACGGCUCAACCGUAGUUAGCCUCCGAAACUGGAAGACUUGAGUGCAGGAGAAGAAAGUGGAAUUCCCAGAGUAGCGGUGAAAUGCGUAGCUAUUGGGAGGAACACCAGUAGCGAAGGCGGCUUUCUGGACUGCAACUGACACUGAGGCACGAAAGCGUGGGUAGCAAACAGG